GUUUAAUCGACAUUCACGCAACCCCCGCCUUAUAUCACCGAACGCUUCUCUCUCUCCACCCGUCCACCUCCAUCACCGCCCCCCCUGUCUCUAUACCGUAACAACCGUCUCCGUGUGUGUUUCUUCAUCGAUAGAGAAACAUUUCCAGCCAUCUUCGAUCAAAUCCCCGAGAGUUCUUCAACUUCUGGAUUGAUUCCAUCUACAAUUGGUCAAUUUCUGGAUUUUCUUAACGAGUGUUGGACUCAAUUUCGUGCCACAGACUUGAGAGAAGCAUAAGAGCCAUGAGGAUCUACGGUAAACACAUCUUUCCGCGUCAGAUCAUUCUUUUCGCUUCCGGGCUUCUCUUCCUGGCUUCAACGACAUACGAUGUUCACAGAUCCAUCAAGAACAACCAAACACCCCCUUCAAAAGAACAGGUCCAAGCCCUUGAAGAUUACAUCAGAUCCGUGCGCAAAUCUCCUUAAGGAGUUACUCUUGUAUUAUUCUCACCCCCAUUACUCUUUGUAUCAUACUCACGUGUAUUGUCAAGUUUGUAAACUCAAAACUGUAACACUUAUUGUACUUGCAUGUUUUCUAUUGAACCAAAUUGCCAAUGAAUUCAUGAUCCCCUUAAUUUA